rnacentral:lncRNA from 1 species
GGAACCAAGCACAGCUUGCAGAUGAUAGCUCCUGGGAGUUGAGGCAAGCUGUGAGGGCUUCAAGUCUGGGAGAAAAGAAGGACCCUUUUCUCUCUCGAGGGUGAGAGACCUGGGGAAACCAGCCUGGAAGCCUUGAAGACGUGGGAUGUCAACAUUAGAGAGAUGGAAACUUGGCCAGCCACCAGGCCUGGAUGUGCUCGCGGUAUGGCUGGGCUCAGGCCAAGCCCACGAAGACGAUGUAAAUGUCCGAGCAGCCGACGCCCUUGCCUGCUCUGACACACUGCAUCCUCCGCUCUUCUUGGCCUCGCCGCACCUCAGCUCCUCAGCACCCUCAGCACCCUCAGCACCCUCAAUGUGAAAUGGAGCUAAUUGUCCUCAUCGGUCUUCACUGUUGAGGGGUUAUUUGAUGAUCAAAUGAAAGGCUCUGAAAAAGGCCACGGAAAAAUCCAGAGGCAAGGUAGCGUCCCCAUGGGCGGCUCAGUCCACUCCUCCCUCAGCCUGGACACAGACGAGGC